AUUGAACGCUGGCGGCAGGCCUAACACAUGCAAGUCGAGCGAGCGGCGGACUGGUGAGUAAUGUAUGGGGACUGCCCGAUAGAGGGGGAUAACUACUGGAAACGGUUGAUAAUACCGCAUACUAUCGGAUAGCCCAUAUGGGCUUAGCUAGUUGGUGAGGUAAAGGCUCACCAAGGCAACGAUCCCUAGCUGGUCUGAGAGGAUGACCAGCCACAAUGGGACUGGGACAAGGCCCAGACGCCUACGGAGGCAGCAGUGGGGAAUAUUGCACAAGGGGGGAAAGCCUGAUGCAGCAAUUCCGCGUGUAUGAAGAAGGCCUUAGGGUUGUAAAGUACUUUCAGUCUGGAGGCGUUACCGACAGAAGAAGCACCGGCUAACUCCGUGCCAGCAGCCGCGGUAAUUC
rnacentral:rRNA from 1 species